GACGUAGGGGGCGAGCGUUGUCCGGAUUUAUUGGGCGUAAAGAGCUCGUAGGCGGCUCGUUGCGUCGGCUGUGAAAACCCGCAGCUCAACUGUGGGCUUGCGGUCGAUACGGGCAUCACUGGAGUUCGGCAGGGGAGACUGGAAUUCCUGGUGUAGCGGUGAAAUGCGCAGAUAUCAGGAGGAACACCGGUGGCGAAGGCGGGUCUCUGGGCCGAUACUGACGCUGAGGAGCGAAAGCGUGGGGAGCGAACAGG
rnacentral:rRNA from 1 species